ACUACAUUGGUCCUAAAAUAUCAAAUUUCAUUUAGAUUAAUACAUUAAUAGUAUUUGUAUUCAGAAAUCGUUGUUGGAGAUAAUGAUGCCCUUCCGCUUCUCAAUUUCCACAAACCGUGAGGAGAUCACGUACACACGUUACUAUCAUCGUCGUACAACUUGACUCGUGUAUUUAUUUCCUCGAGCCAAUGGAAAACAGAUAGGAAGUAAUAUGCUAAGUAAUUUUUAUUAAUCUUAAAAACCGGUGGGAAAAGUAGAUAAUAAAAACACGUGCGUGAGAUUAUAUCA